AGAGAGAGAGAGAGAGAGAGAGAGAGAGAGAGAUGGAAGAAGAGAAAAGAAGAGAUUGUCUCAUGUAACCGCUUGGUGUUGAAGCUGCUGCUCCUAGUUGUUCAUAAUGAUCAGCCACUGCAUUGGCCUCCCUGGAGAUGUGGCUGUAGACGACUCGAUCUCCCCUGCAAAAUGUAUCUCUUUAUGCGUUCUAGCAGAGCUAUUGUCUCAGCAGCAGUUGAGUCUCCAUGGACAUAAAAUGCAAUUUUCCAUAGUUGGAAACAUGCCCUCAUGGUUGCGUUAUUGUAAGAAAAUUCAUGGGCUUCUUUCUGGCUUCUCUCUGUGUUUCUAUCAUAGUCAAGUCUUCAAGUGGAAAGAUACAGAGGCUGCAUUUCCUUCACUCCCAAGAUGGUAUUGGUGGUUUUGGAUAAGGGAAAUGUCAAAAUAUCAGAAUUUGGUUUUGUAAUUGGAUGAUUUACACAGGCAGUUUGUGUGAAUGCUAGCUGUGAUCUUCGAGAGUAUGAUGCAAUUUCAUUGGAGUCUGGUUAUUAUUGGGGUCUCAAGUGGUCAUCUGAUAUUGGUGGGAUUCGCCCUGUUCCAUUACCUGAACUCUCUUUGCUAAAUCUGGUUUGGGACCUUUUCGUAUUCAACCAUGCCCCAAGCUUAUAUUAUGAACAGGCGAAAGAGUUUUUUCAUGAACAGGAGUGCAAACUUGAUAGACAUUUCUUGCCAUUGUCAUCGAGUUAUUUCCAUUGUAGAUACAAAGUUGUUGCUGCUACAAAUUCAUGAUUCUGUAAAAAAAAAAAACGUCUCUCUCUAGCCCUGCAGUGAGAUUGCAGUGGAUUUGUACCAAUUGUGAGCUGUAACAUAUUAUCCAAAUGCUGGUGGUCAGUUUCUCUUA